rnacentral:rRNA from 1 species
UGGGGAAUAUUGGACAAUGGGCGAAAGCCUGAUCCAGCCAUGCCGCGUGAGUGACGAAGGCCUUAGGGUUGUAAAACUCUUUCGUCGGGGACGAUAAUGACGGUACCCGAAGAAGAAGCUCCGGCUAACUUCGUGCCAGCAGCCGCGGUAAUACGAAGGGAGCUAGCGUUGUUCGGAAUCACUGGGCGUAAAGCGCACGUAGGCGGAUAGUUAAGUCAGGGGUGAAAUCCUGGGGCUCAACCCCAGAACUGCCUUUGAUACUACUAAUCUCGAGUCCGAUAGAGGUGAGUGGAAUUCCUAGUGUAGAGGUGAAAUUCGUAGAUAUUAGGAAGAACACCAGUGGCGAAGGCGGCUCACUGGAUCGGUACUGACGCUGAGGUGCGAAAGCGUGGGGAGCAAACAGGAUUAGAUACCCACGUAGUCCCUGAGCGGGCUGGCAAGGCGCAU